CUUACACAUGCAAGUCGAGGGGCAGCAUCAUUAAAGCUUGCUUUGAUGGAUGGCGACCGGCGCACGGGUGAGUAACACGUAUCCAACCUGCCGACAACACUGGGAUAGCCUUUCGAAAGAAAGAUUAAUACCGGAUGGCAUAGUCUUCCCGCAUGGGAUGACUAUUAAAGAAUUUCGGUUGUCGAUGGGGAUGCGUUCCAUUAGGCAGUUGGCGGGGUAACGGCCCACCAAACCAACGAUGGAUAGGGGUUCUGAGAGGAAGGUCCCCCACAUUGGAACUGAGACACGGUCCAAACUCCUACGGGAGGCAGCAGUGAGGAAUAUUGGUCAAUGGACGAGAGUCUGAACCAGCCAAGUAGCGUGAAGGAUGACUGCCCUAUGGGUUGUAAACUUCUUUUAUACGGGAAUAAAGUGAGCCACGUGUGGCUUUUUGUAUGUACCGUAUGAAUAAGGAUCGGCUAACUCCGUGCCAGCAGCCGCGGUAAUACGGAGGAUCCGAGCGUUAUCCGGAUUUAUUGGGUUUAAAGGGAGCGUAGGCGGGUUGUUAAGUCAGUUGUGAAAGUUUGCGGCUCAACCGUAAAAUUGCAGUUGAUACUGGCGACCUUGAGUGCAACAGAGGUAGGCGGAAUUCGUGGUGUAGCGGUGAAAUGCUUAGAUAUCACGAAGAACUCCGAUUGCGAAGGCAGCUUACUGGAUUGUAACUGACGCUGAUGCUCGAAAGUGUGGGUAUCAAACAGGAUUAGAUACCCUGGUAGUCCACACAGUAAACGAUGAAUACUCGCUGUUGGCGAUAUACGGUCAGCGGCCAAGCGAAAGCAUUAAGUAUUCCACCUGGGGAGUACGCCGGCAACGGUGAAACUCAAAGGAAUUGACGGGGGCCCGC
rnacentral:rRNA from 1 species